CCUACGGGUGGCAGCAGUGAGGAAUAUUGGUCAAUGGGCGAGAGCCUGAACCAGCCAAGUCGCGUGAGGGAGUACUGCCCUAUGGGUUGUAAACCUCUUUUGUCGGGGAGCAAAAGCCGGACGUGUCCGGCUGUGAGAGUACCCGAAGAAAAAGCAUCGGCAAACUCCGUGCCAGCCGCCGCGGUAAUUCGGGGGAUGCGAGCGUUUUCCGGAUUUAUUGGGUUUAAGGGGGUCGCGGGGGGAUUGUUAAGUCAGCGGGAAAAUCGUGGGGCUCAACCCCGUCCAGCCGCUGUAACUGGGGGGCUAGAGUGUGCGAGAGGUAUGCGGAAUGCAUGGUGUAGCGGUGAAAUGCAUAGAGAUCACGCAGAACCCCGAUUGCGAAGGCAGCAUACCGGUGCACGACUGACGCUCAGGCACGAAAGCGUGGGUAUCGAACAGGAUUAGAUACCCUUGUAGUC
rnacentral:rRNA from 1 species